GCCUGUGUGAGCACUUCAAUGGUACGUUGAAGCAAAUGCUCCAUACCUUUGUGGCGACUCACAAGGAUUGAGAGAGAUUCCUGCCCCAGCUCCUGUUUGCCUAUCGGGAGGUGCCACAGGAAUCGACUGGGUUCUCCUCGUUUGAACUGCCAUGCCAGGGAACUCCUUGGAGCUUGCUUUGGUGUGCUCGGUCCCUGGGUGCGGUGGGCAGUAACAGGAGUACUGUCUAGUGGAUGGCUGCUCCACUUUUGCACCCUGCUCUAGGAGGAGGAGGUGGAUGUGGAGUAGGAGGUUGAGGAGGCAGUGACCGUGGCAGUGAUGACACAUUCGGAUGUCUGCCCUAUCAACUUUUGAUGUUACUAUCUGCACCUACCAUGGUGACCAUGGGUAAUCGGGAAUCAGGGUUCGAUUCCAGAGAUGGAGCCUGAGAAGCGUCUACCACAUCCAAGAAAAGCAGC